UGGCUCAGACGGUAAAGCGUCUGUUUACAAUGCAGGAGACCAGGGUUCGAUCCCUG
rnacentral:tRNA from 1 species